GAUGAACGCUGGCGGCGUGCCUAAUACAUGCAAGUCGAGCGAACAGACGAGGAGCUUGCUCCUCUGACGUUAGCGGCGGACGGGCGAGUAACACGUGGAUAACCUACCUAUAAGACUGGGAUAACUUCGGGAAACCGGAGCUAAUACCGGAUAAUAUAUUGAACCGCAUGGUUCAAUAGUGAAAGACGGUUUUGCUUUCACUAAUAGAUGGAUCCGCGUCGCAUUAGUUAGUUGGUAAGGUAACGGCUUACCAAGGCAACGAUGAGUAGCCGACCCGAGAGGGUGAUCGCCCACACUGGAAGUGAGACCGGGCCCAGACUCCUAGGGGGGGCAGCGGAAGGGAAUCUUCCGCAAUGGGGGAAAGCUUAACGGGGCAACGCCGCGUGAGGGAUGAAGGUCUUCGGAUCGUAAAACUCUGUUGUUAGGAAAGAAGAAAUGUGUAAUUAACUGUGCACGUAUUGACGGUACCUAAUCAGAAAGCCACGGCUAACUACGUG
rnacentral:rRNA from 1 species